rnacentral:rRNA from 1 species
GACGAACGCUGGCGGCGUGCUUAGCACAUGCAAGUCGAACGGAAAGGCCCUGCUUUUGUGGGGUGCUCGAGUGGCGAACGGGUGAGUAACACGUGAGUAACCCGCCCCUGACUUUGGGAUAACUUCAGGAAACUGGGGCUAAUACCGGAUAGGAGCUCCUGCUGCAUGGUGGGGGUUGGAAAGUUUCGGCGGUUGGGGAUGGACUCGCGGCUUAUCAGCUUGUUGGUGGGGUAGUGGCUUACCAAGGUUUUGACGGGUAGCCGGCCUGAGAGGGUGACCGGCCACAUUGGGACUGAGAUACGGCCCAGACUCCUACGGGAGGCAGCAGUGGAGAAUCUUGCAGAGUGGGCGGAAGCCUGAUGCAGCAACGCCGCGUGCGGGAUGACGGCCUUCUGGUUGUGAACCGCUUUCGCCUGUAACGAAGCGUGAGUGACGGUAAUGGGUAAAGAAGCACCGGCUAACUACGUG